rnacentral:rRNA from 1 species
AUUGAACGCUGGCGGCAUGCUUUACACAUGCAAGUCGAACGGCAGCGGGGUAGUGCUUGCACUACUGCCGGCGAGUGGCGAACGGGUGAGUAAUAUAUCGGAACGUACCGAGUAAUGGGGGAUAACCAAUCGAAAGAUUGGCUAAUACCGCAUACGUCCUGAGGGAGAAAGCGGGGGAUCGCAAGACCUCGCGUUAUUCGAGCGGCCGAUAACUGAUUAGCUAGUUGGUGGGGUAAAGGCCUACCAAGGCGACGAUCAGUAGCGGGUCUGAGAGGACGAUCCGCCACACUGGGACUGAGACACGGCCCAGACUCCUACGGGAGGCAGCAGUGGGGAAUUUUGGACAAUGGGGGCAACCCUGAUCCAGCCAUGCCGCGUGUAUGAAGAAGGCCUUCGGGUUGUAAAGUACUUUUGUUAGGGAAGAAAAGGGAAGUGCCAAUACCACUUUUUGCUGACGGUACCUAAAGAAUAAGCACCGGCUAACUACGUG